GUGAGGUAUGGAACGCAUUAGGCAAGACAGUGACACGCACACAGCCGGAAGUGACGCAGUUGGCGUCUCGAUCUGGCGCGUGUAUUAACACGGCUAUGAGGCAUAUAUAAGGAGUAGCCGGACUCCGCAUAGAUGCCGCCAGCCUGAAUCAGAUUUUGGUAUGGUCAUCAUCCAUGCCCGGAUUAUGGUGGAGACAGGAUAGACAUACAGCAGCAAGGGAGAUCUAUCUUUGUGUACUUAUUGUGGUCAGGGAUAUGUUGAGCUAAUUGGGGGCCAUUGUUGAGAAGGACGAUCUGUUUGUUGUUAGCCCACGCUAUCUAGCAUGGGCAAAAUCUGAUGUAAUCUAUCCAGGAUCUACCAUUAUCCCAGGAGUUGAUAUCAAGCACUUCGGGCUCAUUGGAUGUCAACAUCUUAUUGGAGAUCUCCCACAAGGAAGAAACUCACAAAUUUUACAUUGUGCAUUCAUUAACCUUGCUUGCUGUGUGAUGUCUGUCUUUUCUUUGCUUAUCAUAUAUAGAAUGGAAUAAGUUAUUGUUGAAAUUCUUCCAUCAUAUAUCCUGGGCUAAUAUAGUAACCCCUGAUGAACCGUAAACAUAAUUAGUCUACGGGGAAACGCGUCGGGUGUCCUAAGGGUGAAUUGUAGGGAUUGUCCCUGGGUAGAGUCUCUUAUUACUGAGACCUAUGACUCUGUAUUCAUUUUAUAAUAUUUUUGAUAUAGGUUUUAAUGA